GUGCAGCAGGCGAGAAUCCUCCGCAAUACACGAAAGUGUGACGGGGUUACCCAAAGUGUCCAAAUUUGGACUGUGGUAGGUGAGUAAUGUCCCCUACUAGAAAGGAGAGGGCAAGGCUGGUGCCAGCCGCCGCGGUAAAACCAGCUCUUCAAGUGGUCGGGAUAAUUAUUGGGCUUAAAGUGUCCGUAGCCCGGUUUAGUAAGUUCCUGGUAAAAUCGGGUAGCUUAACUAUCUGUAUGCUAGGAAUACUGCUAUACUAGAGGGCGGGAGAGGUCUGAGGUACUACGAGGGGUAGGGGUGAAAUCCUGUAAUCCUUGUAGGACCACCAGUGGCGAAGGCGUCAGACUGGAACGCGCUGACGGUGAGGGACGAAAGCCAGGGGAGCGAACCGGAUUAGA
rnacentral:rRNA from 1 species